rnacentral:lncRNA from 1 species
CUUGAGUUGCACUGUCUGCACUAUUAGCCCGUCUCCUUUUGACUGCUAUAUUGGGGCAAUAAGUAAAACCGUGUAUUGCAUCAGUGUAAUAGUGUAAUAGCAGCGAAAAAAGCAAUAGCAUGAGUGUAAUAGCAGCGAAAAAAAACAAUUCUUUUAGUUCCAUUUUACACUGCCUUACUAUCUACACUUCGUACACCUAUUAUAUAUUGUAGAUUACACGUGCACCCGAGUGUGGCGCCCGAGCGUGUGCGAAAGGUCAGGUUUCGGAGAACUGUCAAAAGUGGAUGUUAAAAACAGUGGACGAUAGUGCGAGAGAAAGAGAGGGAGGGAGAGAAAGAGAGAGAGAGGUUCACGGAUGUCUUAAUUUAAUAGAUACUGCGAUGCGGAACACUAACCAUCGGCACGAGGAGCCGCUCGUUAAGAAGUAGACUAUCCGAUCGCCUCGAGGAACAUGGACCAAAUCCCGGAUGACCGAGGACUUCCGCCUCUCACUGUUUAAAGAGAUCUAGCUAGGAGCGUGCAAUAUAGUGCACUGACCUGAGGUGUACCACAGAGUACGCUGACCCGAAUCACAUCUGAAGGCCCAAUCAAAGGAUGCGAAGGAUGCCUACUGACAUUUUCCUGGGUAACAGCGGCACUCUUCAUCGUUCCCUGAUGUUUAUACUGAAGCUCGGCUGGCAAUCCAGAUUUCGCUUACCGGUGCUCCUGGUUAUUGUCUUUGUCGCCAUGGAUUAUAGGCUGCAGCUGGAGAUCGAAUUCGGGGAUAAUACGGAUCAACACGAUGACCUGUGAUUGAAAUGGAUGGCAUCGAGAUUGACAUAUCUGUCCGAUAAUUUGUAUCUAAUGUAUACAUGUCUAAUGUAUACGCGCAUGAGAUGGUUUCUACUUCGAUUGUACCAGAAACUGUACUUGAUUAGAUCUUUUGGAAUGUAACUAACUAUUGACGAGCGAUAAUAAUUGUACAUUUUAAACAAAAUUUUAGCUCACAGUUUACAGUUUUGCGCUUAUUACUUGUUGACUAUUAAUGUUUGGACUUGCGAGAUUGACAUAUGCAUUUGUCGUAUACAAUUAAUUUGAGAAUUUUCUAAUAUACAUUGUAUUUAUAUAUAUUAUCCUAUCUUAUAAUAUAUAUGUGUCUUAUAACAUAUUUAUAUUAUAUAAAUUAUACAUUGUCCAAAUUGAACUGAUAAACAUAAUUUAAUAGAAUAAUUUAUUACAGCAAUUUAUAAUAAAAAUAAUGAGAGGAUUGACUUUCAGAAAUCUUGGCGAAAUAACGUUGAGAUUUGUUUUUUAAUCUGUGAAGGUAAUGAAUAAGAUAGCGAAGUUGAUAGAAAAAAAAUGAGAUACUAUAUAAGUGCAUGAAAGGGGAGAUCUUCCACUAUUUUCAUUGCUGCGAUUAAUUCCAUUUAUAAACUUCGCGCUUAUUAAGCCGACGAUAAGUAAUAAAUGUAGCAGAUCCUUUACAAGGUUUACUUAUUGUAAAGAUGUAAUAUAAAUUAUGUCAGAAAUCUGACUUAAAUAUGAAAAUAUAAAAAUAUGAAUAUAAAAUG